UACGUAGGGUGCGAGCGUUGUCCGGAAUUAUUGGGCGUAAAGAGCUCGUAGGCGGUCUGUCGCGUCGAUCGUGAAAACUUGGGGCUUAACCCUGAGCUUGCAGUGGGUACGGGCAGACUAGAGUGCGGUAGGGGAGACUGGAAUUCCUGGUGUAGCGGUGAAAUGCGCAGAUAUCAGGAGGAACACCGGUGGCGAAGGCGGGUCUCUGGGCCGUAACUGACGCUGAGGAGCGAAAGCAUGGGGAGCGAACAGG
rnacentral:rRNA from 1 species